rnacentral:rRNA from 1 species
ACCGGCAGCUCAAGUGGUGGCCAUUAUUAUUGGGCCUAAAGCGUUCGUAGCCGGUUUGAUAAGUCUCUGGUGAAAUCCCGCAGCUUAACUGUGGGACUUGCUGGAGAUACUAUCAGACUUGAGGUCGGGAGAGGUUAGGGGUACUCCCAGGGUGGGGUUAAAAUCUUAUAAUCCGGGGGGGACACCCGGGGGCAAGGGCGCCUACCGGGAAGGAACUGGCCGUUGAGUACCGAAGGCAGGGGCGCGAACCG